rnacentral:misc_RNA from 1 species
AACAAGGCGUACCUGCGGACCUGCGGAAGGAUCAUCAUCGAAUUCAUAUCCCCCUCCUCUCCCGGAGGGGGACCCAUGAUAAACCCUUCUGUGCACCGUAAACCGUUCACUUUGGCAGGCUUUGGUGGUGGGCGUGAGCUCGCCUCCAACCUCGCGUUCCUCCCUCCCUAUAAGGGUUGCGUAGCGGCCUGCCGGAGUCCUAUUAAAAAACUCGUUUUCGAACACGUCUGAAAAUUUCCU